rnacentral:rRNA from 1 species
CAGUCGCCGCGGUAAUACGUAGGGUGCAAGCGUUAAUCGGAAUUACUGGGCGUAAAGCGUGCGCAGGCGGUUGUUUAAGACAGAUGUGAAAUCCCCGGGCUUAACCUGGGAACUGCGUUUGUGACUGCAAAGCUAGAGUAUGGCAGAGGGGGGUGGAAUUCCACGUGUAGCAGUGAAAUGCGUAGAUAUUUGCAGGAACACCGAUGGCGAAGGCAGCUCACUGGGAUGAUACUGACGCUGAUGCACGAAAGCGUGGGGAGCAAACAGGAUUAGAUACCCGCGUAGUCCCUGUCUCUUAUAC